rnacentral:rRNA from 1 species
AACGAACGCUGGCGGCGUGCCUAAUACAUGCAAGUCGUACGAAGGAGCUUGCUCCUUAGUGGCGAACGGGUGAGUAAUACAUAAAUAAUCCGCCUCAAUGACUGGGAUAACUAUUGGAAACGAUAGCUAAUACCGGAUAGGUUAUCGGAAGACAUCUUCUGAUAAUUAAAGGUGCGUUCGCACCACGUUGAGAUGAGUUUAUGGCGCAUUAGUUAGUUGGCGGGGUAACGGCACACCAAGACGAUGAUGCGUAGCCGAUCUGUGAGGUAGACCGACACCACAGGGGCUGAGACACGGCCCAGAGUCCUACGGGAGGCAGCAGUAGGGAAUUUUCGGCAAUGGACGAAAGCCUGACAGAGCAACACCGCGUGAGUGAUGAAGGCGUUCGAGUUGUAAAGCUCUGUUGUAGGGGAAGAACCGCCAGGAUAGGAAAUGAUCUUGGCUUGACGGUACUCUGCCAGAAAGCAACGGCUAACUACGUGCCAGCAGCCGCCGUAAAAC